GCGUCCUUAGCUCAGCUGGAUAGAGCGGUCGGAGGUUCGAAUCCUCCAGGACGCGCCA
rnacentral:tRNA from 1 species